rnacentral:rRNA from 1 species
UACAAAGGUCUCAAGCGUUGUUCGGAUUCAUUGGGCGUAAAGGGUGUGUAGGUGGCGCGCUAAGUCGGGUGUGAAAUUUCGGAGCUUAACUCCGAAACUGCAUUCGAUACUGGCGUGCUUGAGGACUGGAGAGGAGACUGGAAUUCAUGGUGUAGCAGUGAAAUGCGUAGAGAUCAUGAGGAAGACCAGUGGCGAAGGCGGGUCUCUGGACAGUUCCUGACACUGAGACACGAAGGCCAGGGGAGCAAACGGG